GUGGGGAAUUUUGGACAAUGGGCGCAAGCCUGAUCCAGCAAUGCCGCGUGCAGGAAGAAGGCCUUCGGGUUGUAAACUGCUUUUGUACGGAACGAAAAGGCUCUGGUUAAUACCUGGGGCUCAUGAUGGUACCGUAAGAAUAAGCACCGGCUAACUACGUGCCAGCAGCCGCGGUAAUACGUAGGGUGCAAGCGUUAAUCGGAAUUACUGGGCGUAAAGCGUGCGCAGGCGGUUUUGUAAGACAGACGUGAAAUCCCCGGGCUCAACCUGGGAAUGGCGUUUGUGACUGCAAAGCUGGAGUGCGGCAGAGGGGGAUGGAAUUCCGCGUGUAGCAGUGAAAUGCGUAGAUAUGCGGAGGAACACCGAUGGCGAAGGCAAUCCCCUGGGCCUGCACUGACGCUCAUGCACGAAAGCGUGGGGAGCAAACAGGAUUAGAAACCCGAGUAGUCC
rnacentral:rRNA from 1 species